rnacentral:lncRNA from 1 species
CAAAACGAAAACAUUGACUCCGUCAUAAACGAACCCGCCGGCCAGGAAAAACCAACAACCAAGUUACCUUAGUCGAUAUGGAAACCUGUGUCCAAACCCUAAUGCUCGGAAGAUCGUCUCGAGAGGUGUACUUGGACAAUACUGAAAAUUAGCUUAUUUUUACAUAAACAAAAUAUCAUCAAAAUGUGUAAUAGCAAACAAAAAUACCAAUAUAUAGUACAAAAAACAAGAAAAAAUCAAACAAUAAUGAACCAAC